ACCUCGGACCAUACCACCCUGAACGUGCCCAAUCUCGUCUGAUCUUGGAAGCUAAGCAGGUUCGGGCCUGGUUAGUACUUGGAUGGGAGAAAUGUAUUUCUUAUAGUCCUGGAGUCUAAGAAGUUCAAGAUC
rnacentral:rRNA from 1 species